rnacentral:rRNA from 1 species
AUUUUUAAUUAGAAUCUUGUUUGAAUGGUUAAAUGAAAUAAGAACUUUUUUAUUAAAAUAAUAGAAUUUUAUUUUUUAGUUAAAAAGCUAAAAUAUAUUAAAGGGACGAGAAGACCCUAUAGAAUUUUAUAAAUAUUAAUAUUUUAUUAUAUGUUUAAUUUUAUUUAGAUUAUAUAAUUUUAUUUUAUUGGGGUGAUAAUUAAAUUUAAUUAACUUUUUAUUAAAAAUCAUUUAUAAAUGUUUAUUUGAUCUUUUUUUAUUGAUUAUAAAAUUAAAUUACCUUAGGGAUAACAGCAUAAUUUUAUUAAUAAGUUUUUAUUUUUAAUAAUGUUUAU